rnacentral:tRNA from 1 species
GUGGCUGUAGCUCAGUUGGUAGAGCACCUGCCUGUGGAGCAGGUUGUCGCGGGUUCGAUCCCCGUCAGUCACCCCA